rnacentral:rRNA from 1 species
GACGAACGCUGGCGGCGUGCUUAACACAUGCAAGUCGAACGAAGAGCGAUGGAAGCUUGCUUCUAUCAAUCUUAGUGGCGAACGGGUGAGUAACGCGUAAUCAACCUGCCCUUCAGAGGGGGACAACAGUUGGAAACGACUGCUAAUACCGCAUACGAUCCAAUCUCGGCAUCGAGGAUGGAUGAAAGGUGGCCUCUAUUUAUAAGCUAUCACUGAAGGAGGGGAUUGCGUCUGAUUAGCUAGUUGGAGGGGUAACGGCCCACCAAGGCGAUGAUCAGUAGCCGGUCUGAGAGGAUGAACGGCCACAUUGGGACUGAGACACGGCCCAGACUCCUACGGGAGGCAGCAGUGGGGAAUCUUCCGCAAUGGACGAAAGUCUGACGGAGCAACGCCGCGUGAGUGAUGACGGCCUUCGGGUUGUAAAGCUCUGUUAAUCGGGACGAAAGGCCUUCUUGCGAAUAGUUAGAAGGAUUGACGGUACCGGAAUAGAAAGCCACGGCUAACUACGUGCCAGCAGCCGCGGUAAUA